AUGCUGUGUCAUUUCAGGGAGGGAUUAUAUUUUGAACUUAUAUUGAUUUAGUCUUUAUGUUACGCUUCCACAUCCUUGUAUUUUUCCAUAGACGUUGGGUUUUCUGUUUUCAUCCCUAGCUAGAUGGACUUACUAUGAGCACACCCCCAGUUCCAGGGCCAGAAAGAGCCUCCCCUCUCCUUACAACAUGUGGAAUCAUGAACACCCCUGCCUUGGCCCAAUUUCCCUAGAAAACAGAGCCUGAGGCAAAGCUUGUGUGUUUCUGGGCAGCGGGGUGAGUUCCAGGAAAGUAAGAGUAAAGGACAAAGGAAGUGAAAGGAGGCAGAGUACAUGCAAGGUGGGAGGUUAGUGAGCAGCCGUGGCUUCCUCAACACACGCAGCUGGCUGCUUCCUCCCUGGGGGCUUAAUCAAGGAGCCUGGGCCUAGCAAGAGUUCCCUCGGGCGCUUUCUCAGGAUGCGAGUUUAACCCCCUGGCAAGGACCCCAGGUGAUGAGGCAAACUCAAGGGUGGCUUUUAGAAGCCUGGAGAAAGUGGCAGCCAGUGUCAAUGGCUGCAAUGGAAAUGGCCAAGUUGCCCUGGAAGAUGGCAGUGAAAACAUAAAAGCCUGAGGAGAGUGGGCACACUGUAUCAUCUGAGACCGGAAGAGCCACCGGGGGUGCGGGGUGGGUAGGUAUGAUGGGCGGGCCCAGAGAACACGUGAUUCGCCACGAGCGUCAGGAAUGCUCAGGGGAGAGGCACCAACAUUACUAAACAGGAGAGCUGGUCACAGAGCUGGGCUCACUGCUACCCAUGGCGAUGAAGCCCCUCUGCCCCCAGUCAUAGAGGCCAGGCGGUGGCCUUCGACUUCCAGAUGCCAGGAGGUCACAAUUACCACAAUGACCUGCAGAGUCAGUCAUGCAGCCAACCGGGCCCCGCCCACAGGGAGCUGUGGUCUGCAGAGCACAGCAUCUCCCGGGGCAGAAUAAAUGGAUAACCUACGCAGGUGCCGCUUAACGUCUCCAGCCAGCAAGAGGCACGAGUGGAGACGUAGGAGGCCCAGAGCCCUCAAACAAACUGACAGUCCCUUGCUCAGUUGUUUGGACCUAAGCCAGUUUUCCGAUCUGGAACACAGGGACUGAAGAGGCGGCUGGGUCUCUAAGGAAGAACUCGGCAGCACUGUUCUUUUGUAAACAGAUGAACAUAAAGCCGUUUCAGCUGUCUUCCCCACCACAGUCUGCCUGCAGCCACGGAUACAGUCCUGUAAUAGCUAACUCAUAAGAAUCCUAACUCUCCAGGUUAGUGGCUUCCAGCAGGUAAAAUCCUUGUCGAGUUGCCUGAGUUCUGCUUGCAGGGCUGAAAAGAACCUGGAGGAACAGCCCACAAGUUACGAAGGUGGAAGGUUCCAGAGACCAGACCAAAAGAUGUGAACUAGGGCCAGUUUUCGCUCUUCAAUGCAUCAGCCAUCGGAGAGCAGCAGCCAUGGCUCUGUACUACCCCAUGGCUGAGGGCCUCAGCGAGGGCACAGGUGGAUCAGCGAUGUGAGCAAGCUCAGGCACACUCACCAAGUUCAGCAGGACAUGAUCCGAGAGCUGUGUGGCUUUGCCCUGAAUGAGCGCCAUGCCAUGGACUUGCUCAAGGUCUCCAAAGACAAAUGGGCCCUCACGUUCAUCAAGAAAAGGGUGGGGCCACACAUCCGCACCAAGAGGAGGUAAGAGGAGCUGAGUGACGUCCUGGCCACAGUGAGGAAAGCAGCUGCCAAGGAUUGAGCUCCCCUUGCUCUGCAUAACAAAACCUCUACAGAACCAAACUCGGCGAUUUUCACUCCUGCCAGCACCUCGUUUUCUCUCCAGAAUGUUUUCUCUCCGGUAUUUCUAAUCUUCACCAAUUUGAUUUACAAAAAAAAUUUGUUUUUUAUUUUGCAUUUUAAAAAUUACGGUUCAUCAUAAUUCAGCGUGUCUCCUUAGGUUUAUCAGUGAUGCUUUUCUUUUUUGUGAUUUAUCUAUCCUUUGUGUAUUUUUUCAAUUAGGUUGUUUCUCUUUUUCUUAUUCA